CAAGCGCUAACGGGACGAUGCAAAGUCUGGGGGCCGCUGUCCUAAGUGGGGGAGCUGACUUUGUAGGGUGGGAGAGCCCCAAGUUGAGGGGCUAGGAAGAGCUAUACUGCACCAAGGGCUGAAGUGGUAACUCACCCAGGCAGGUAGUUCCCGGUGGCUCAUAUAAAGCGUCUCUGCGGUGAUCCGCUCCUCGUCAUCCAGCAGCUGCCUCGCUGCCCUCAGGCUCCGUUCUUUCCCAUCGCGGACCCGGCGCCAGCCCAAGUACAGGGCGAGGCCGAAAAGCACGAAACCUACGCUAAGACCCGCUGCCCCUGCCAGGUACACCGUGCUGGAAUCUGUGCUGUUCACAAUGAAAACAAGACCAGGGACACCCCCAACUUCCUAUGAGAAAAGACGGUCCCUCAGUCCUUUCUCUCUGCUGGCUCCAGUCUCCACUCCUGUGCAAGCCUGUUUUGAGUUGAGGCCUGAAGGAGAGACCCCUCUCAAGAGUGACGAAACUUGCACUUGGCUCCUCUCUGACAGUCACCUUUGAGGAAGUCGCGGCAGAUGGGGACCUCCUCCUUACCAUUGGGUAGGUCAGCGGGUGAGAGACCCAGCCCAGCGGCCACUUUCUGCCUCAGCCGGGGAGGCAGCUCUCCUGUCUUCUUAUAGCCAUCCUCAUCCUCCUUGGAGCCGUGGAUGAAACGACAGUUGGGGCGGCUACACUCCUUGUUUUGGAAGUCAUGGCAGAAGAUAAAUUCAUUUUUGCUUACCCCCAAAUUGGAUACCUCACUCAUGUCUGGGUGGCGGUAUCGACAUCGCUUGCCUCGUUUGCAGACGUUCCUCAGGAAGUCUC
rnacentral:lncRNA from 1 species